CCUACGGGGAGCAGCAGUGAGGAAUAUUGGUCAAUGGCCGGAAGGCUGAACCAGCCAUGCCGCGUGAAGGUCAGUGCCCUAUGGGCGUUAAACUUCUUUUGUGCGGGAGCAAUAAUGGUCACGUGUGGCCAGACGAGAGUACCGUACGAAUAAGCAUCGGCUAACUCCGUGCCAGCAGCCGCGGUAAUACGGGGGAUGCAAGCGUUAUCCGGAUUUAUUGGGUUUAAAGGGUGCGUAGGCUGUGAGGUAAGUCAGCGGUGCAAUGCCCCCGCUCAAAGGGGUGAAGUGCCAUUGAUACUGCCAUGCUGGAAUGCGGAUGCCGUGGGAGGAAUGUGUGGUGUAGCGGUGAAAUGCAUAGAUAUCACACAGAACACCGAUUGCGAAGGCAUCUCACGAAUCCGCGAUUGACGCUGAUGCACGAAAGCGUGGGUAUCAAACAGGAUUAGAUACCCUUGUAGUC
rnacentral:rRNA from 1 species